GGGCGCUAUCUCCAACUGUCUUUGCACUUCUGAGUAAGAAUCUGAUGAUUGUGCACAGUGACCUGGCUGUUCACUUCCCUGCCAUUCAGUAUGCUGUGCUCUACACAUUGUAUUCUCAUUGUACCAGGCAUGAUCACUUUAUCUCUAGUAGCCUCAGUUCUUCCUCUCCUUUGUUUGAUGGAGCUGUGAUUAGCACUGUAACUACGGCCACAAAGAAACAUUUCUCAAUUAUAUUAAAUCUUCUGUGAAUAUUACUUAAGAAAGAUAACCUUAACCAGGACACGAGGU
rnacentral:lncRNA from 1 species